UUAUUUUAUUCUUCUCCCUUGUCUCUUUCAACGUAUAAGUUGUUGCUUUCUCUUCCUUUGAACGUGCAACUUCCAUUUCAGCUCUCCCUUGGACGACAAAGCAGCAACCAAACAACAAGGUCUCGAGCGUUCCUCCCUCCUCAAGAAAAUCCGGGACUUUGUGUGCUGCUGUGGUGGUCGCUCAACGACACCUCCAGCCAUUGUGUCGGGUCCAAAUCAUCGUCUAAACCUCAAUGGAUGUCCUUGUGUUGCCGUCCGGCCACAAGUGAGGAUCGCCAUUAGUUUCGGUGGUGAGUUGUCUUCUAAAUCUGGACUAGGGGUUGAGUACCUCUAUUAGGAAUUUAUACAAGUUAAAAAUAUGUAUAUGACGUUAUAUAUGGAUAGAUGUUGGUUAGGGACGUUAUGAUAGACAUAAAAAAAACUUAGAUAAGGCUUAGAGAGCAAAACAAACAUCGUGGAGAAAGAUUCGGACUAGAACAGUAGCUGAUUUCUGAAACAGUUUCCAAGACGUGUAUGUUUUGUUAAUUUUGUAGACAACUUUGUGUUGCGAUUUUGAAGGGAUUUAUUCUGAAGAAACGUUUUGGACAUCUUAAAUAGUAAUAUAUAUUUUUCUUUUAAUUUUUAGAAAUUAAAAAGAUGACGAUUUUAAUGACGUCAUCCUCGGAACAGUAAUUCGGACAGUUUUGUAACUCCUGACCUGUUAUGAUUCAGAGGACUAUUACUGACUUUUAGAGGUCGAAUUUCCAAUCGGUUUCUUCAUGAAAGUUGUUCUUUAUAACCUUUAGUUUAACAUACUUGAAUUUCAAAUCAAACGGACUAGAUUUAGACCCAAAAAUGAACUGAUUACGAUGAGUUAGGCUCUUUGGAACUGGACCCGAUUUUUUUGCUGGAUAGAAAGAAUUUCUAGGCCGAAUCCAGAGGAAUCUGGAUCUCGGUGCCUUCAUUGAAAUUUUUUUUUUUGUUUUCUAGCACGUGUCCAAAUUUGAGAAUUUUUCGGGCUCAUACGAGUGAGUUUCUGACUUUGAAUUCGGAAGAGCGUAAUUGGACUGUUUUCUAUUAAUUCGGGUUAGUAAAAGUGUAUGCUUGUUUUGAAGUAUUCUUGCCAUGAAAUUGCUUAAUUGAGACUGUGAAUGCUAUGUGUAACUGAUUAUUGAAGUGUGACAUUGAUCAUAUGCAUUCAUGACAUGAUUCCGCCACGAGCCUUUGGGGCCAGGCGAUGCUCCUUCGGGAAUGCCCCACGUCAACGGAUGCCGGUCGCAGUGGAGGCUGGACCGAUGCUCCUAUAUGGAAUGCCGUCUAGAUGUAGACGAUGCUGCGCUCGACGGUGCAAGGCGAUGCCCGGUUAUACCGGAAGACUGUUAUCUGUGCAUUGAAAUCAUUUGUGACACAUGAAAUGCCCGGCUAUACCGGAAGACUAUUAUCUGAGCAUUGAAAUCAUUUGUGACACAUGAAAUGCCCGGCUAUGCCGGAAGACUGUUAUCUGAGCAUUGAAUUCAUUUGUGACACAUGAAUGGGUGAAAGUAAGGGACCUAAUUAAAAGACGGAACUGUGUGGUGUGGUAUGGGACGUGCCAUAACGAUUUAGUCUGGUAAUUGGGGGCUCGUGUAAUUAUGUGACAUUUAUGUCCUUACAUAUGUAUAUGUUAAAAGUAUUCUGAUGAUAUAUGAUCUCGAUAUCUUAUGUAUGAUUUGAUUGACACUAACAUGUAGGAAAGUACUGGUAUUAAGAAAGUGUGAGAAAAGUAAUUAGAUUGCAUGUUGAGUGUACCAUUCUCCUACUCUAGAUUUAUGGGAUUUACUCGCUGAGAUGUGAUCUCACCCCUUAAUGGGCUAACAUUUUUCAGGUCCCUAAAUGGAGGAAGGCCGGGUCGUGUACAGUCGGUUGCAGUAAAGGAGAAAUAGGAUUCUCGCUAUCUCCUUCCAAGUAAUGACGGGUUUUCCAUCAAGAUUGGAUGUAGGGUGACAGCUCACCCCCGAGAUAUCAAGAAAUAUGGUAUUAGUAAAACCCAAUCUUAUAGAUAGAAGCUUAGUUAGUGGGUAAUCGAAUAGCUUCACUUUUUAUAUCGGACCUUGAGGUGUUAAACUGGUCUAUAUGUAUAAGUACUGUGAUGUUGUAGGUAUGGCUUGUCAAAAAUAAUAUCCUACAUUUCUAUCACACUGUUUUGUUGUAUGGAGAUUAUUUUACAUUUCCGCAUGUGCAAAAAAAAUGAAUGGGUCGGCAACAGUUCCUGGGAUAUUGCAAAUUUUAAAUCGACCAUUGAGGGAUGUGCAUGUGCCCGGGGUUCGGGUUGUGACAUAUUCGGGCUAGCCACCAUAGCCCAUCUGUUUGGUUCUUCAACCACAAAAAUGGGAGUAUCCAUCAGAUGUGAGUUGUCAAACUCCUCUGGUCCAUGAGGUUUCAACUCAUAAGGAUUGUAUCGUUUUACUUUCUUUGUAGGGCUUGCUUUGGGGAUUAACUGAGUACUUUUUAUUUUCUUCUUUUUAGAAGCGCCAACUGUUUCAAGAGACUGAUCUCGGAUGUGUGUUGAUGUAGGGGUAUGAGCCAGAAGUGGUAAGAUGCCUUUUGAAGGGCUUGACUAAUAUCGCCAUUGAAGUGGUUCAGCUAAGGUAAGAAUAGGUUUAUCUGGAGGAGGCUCAACAGGUGCCUUUUCUUAUUCCUUGCUAUGUUGAUCCACUGGCAUCAGGAGGUUCGAUGGCUGAGGAGUUUCUGGUAUGAUUUCUUCUAUGUCCUCUCGGUUGCCGUUCGUCUCAUAAAAAGCCACCCAAAAGGGGCUAUGCUCCUUAACUUCAACGCGGAGCCAUUGGCCAUAAUAGCGGUUUUCUUUACUGUCCAUUUUUUCUUCAUCAUAAGGAAAACUUUUGUAGUGCAUAGCAUAAUGACAAAGGAUUCCACAUGAAUAGUAGAAAUGAGAUAGUUUUUCAUAGCGGAAAUCUAACCAUAUAUUUUUUCCUUCUACUCAAAUCAGUUGGCCUGGUUUCAGAGGGUCUUGAAGGUUGACUUCUACCCGUGCCCGCCCUGCUCUGUAGGUACCAUCUCUAGUUUCUAAUUUAACCUCUAACACUUUUCCCACAUGUCUCAUUGCUCUAUUGAUCAUAUUCUCAGUGCAUCUCUCUAAAGGGAGUCCAAAUAUUUGAACCUAGAUGUUGUAAAGUUGUAGCAAUGGAGGGGUGUGUUCGGUAGCCAAGGCGUGAGGAUUACUAGAUGUUGUGAGAAUAACCAAGGUCCAUUUUCUAAAACUCUCUACUUGUUAGCUUCCUUAGUAAAUUUAGCGACAUAUAAUCCUAGUUUAGGGUGGGAAAUUUCAACAUUUUUCGUACGUCAAACACGUUUCAUAGUAUUUUGGAAAGCCUGGAAAUUGAUCGAGGGGUUAGAUAGGAUUUUACCUACCAAAAUAAGUUUGCAUUCUUCUAACUUCUCUGUUGGGGCAGCCUCAUUGAAACUUCAACUUGCUGUUUAGGCCAAAGGUGACCCAAUCUCUAGCAUAGAGCUGCCAGUCGAGCAUCCUCAUCCAAGUUGGUGUGUUCCAUUUGCAACUCCACAGAACAGGGUAGCUUCAGCGAGGAUAAUAGGGAUUGAAGAGAAGGGCCAUAGCUUCGAGAUGAAAAACUAUGACAGAAAACUCAAUCCGCCAAUCAGACCAUCGAACAAGGUGUCGAGCUUGGUCGAGAUGGAUAGAGGGAGUGUUGGAAGUAGAGCAAUUGAGGCAUGCAACAACAAAGGGUUGUGAUACAGAGGAAACCCAUAAACGACGCACCUCUAAUGCUCAGGGGUAGCCAAAGUCAAAGAAAGGAUAGAAUUUGAGAGGGAAGGUAGGAGGAUUAUGGAUGAAAUUCGGUGGCCAAAUUCAACUUGGGAUGGGGUUAAAGGUGAGGUAAAAGAUGAGAUUGGGUAGAAAAUUUGAGGCUAUGGCAUUGACGGUUGGAUGAUCCAUCAAGCGCACUAAAGCCGAGAAGCAAGUGAAGGGAAGGAUGAAGGAAGAGAGACGAAGGAAGUCAAGAGUUAGGGUUCGGGGAUUGAACUACUUAGUUAAUUACCAUAUUUUGCACGGGUUUUGCAUUUUAAAUUUGGUUGAAAAUUUACAUUUAUUGAGAAUCCUUCUGUGUUGGAGCAAAUUCAAUGUAGAAGGAAAGUGUAGUGCUUGCAAAUAUAGCUAUUGUAACGAUAAUUAUGAAAUUUAUUAAAUGGAAAGAGGUAUUGUCAAAACAAUAAAAAAAAAAUUACGAAAGAUGAAGUUCUAAU
rnacentral:lncRNA from 1 species